rnacentral:misc_RNA from 1 species
GGUCUGAUAGUGAUGACAAACCUUUGAAAAAGAAAGCCAAGAAGGAUCAAGGCACAAAAGAGAAAAAGAAGAAAGAAAAGGCUCCAGAGACGAAGAGGAAAUCUAAACGUCAAAACAAAGGAAGUGAAAGUGAAAGCAGUGUGGGAGAGUUACCAGAUGAAGAAGAAAUUCUAGAUACCCCUCCAUCAUCAGGAAAAUCAGCAUCGGAAUCAGAGUCAGACUGAACACAGCAACUCAUGGCUUGGGAUUUGUGAUAUCUUGACACUGUAUAAAAAUAUUUUUACAAUUCAUGAAAAGUAUUGAUGUUUCAUCACAUUUCUUGCUUCAAGAAUGUAUUAUGUGUACAAAGAAGUACCAGUGUUGUGUUGGCACUAAAACGACUUUAGCCUUCAUAAAUGUGUACAUGUGAUUAAAAAACAGAUUCUCUUUAACGUAAGGAAACUUUAUAGCACCAAUAGUGCUUAAUUUGUUUCAUUGAUAACUGUAUGAUGAAUUCAUAAUAAAUGUCGGUCAUC